GUCAAGUCAGCAUGACCUUUAUAUCCAGGGCUACACACACGCUACAAUGGUCAGUACAAUGGGUUGCCAAGCCGCGAGGCGGAGCCAAUCCUAAAAAGCUGGCCUCAGUUCAGAUUGCAGUCUGAAACUCGACUGCAUGAAGUCGGAGUUGCUAGUAAACGCAGGUCAGCUAUACUGCGUUGAAUACGUUCCCGGGGCUU
rnacentral:rRNA from 1 species